GGGGUCGGGGUGCAAGCUGCGAGCUGCUCUCCUGCUUCCCUCAGAGCCGCGGCGGAGCCCCGGUGACCUGCCGUGCCAGCCCGCGGCCUCCGCGCUACCUGAGCCAAUGCUAGAUCUGGAGGUGGUGCCCGAGCGCUCUCUGGGGAACGAGCAAUGGGAGUUCACCUUGGGCAUGCCCUUGGCUCAGGCUGUAGCAAUCCUUCAGAAGCACUGUCGCAUUAUCAAAAACGUCCAGGUUCUCUACAGUGAGCAGUCACCUCUUAGCCAUGACCUCAUCCUUAACCUGACUCAGGAUGGAAUCAAACUGCUGUUUGAUGCUUUCAAUCAGAGACUUAAGGUGAUUGAAGUUUAUGACUUGACUAAGGUGAAGUUAAAAUAUUGUGGUGUCCAUUUUAACUCUCAGGCAAUUGCUCCAACCAUAGAACAAAUUGAUCAGUCAUUUGGAGCGACACAUCCAGGAGUGUAUAAUUCAGCUGAGCAACUCUUUCACCUCAAUUUCAGAGGACUGUCGUUUUCUUUUCAGUUAGACUCCUGGACUGAGACUCCGAAGUACGAGCCUAACUUUGCUCAUGGUCUGGCCUCUCUGCAAAUCCCACACGGUGCGACUGUGAAGCGGAUGUACAUCUACAAUGGGAACAGCCUGCAGGACACCAAGGCUCCCUUGAUGCCUCUCAGCUGUUUCCUUGGCAAUGUGUAUGCUGAGAAUGUCGAUGUACUGCGAGAUGGAACUGGACCCUCAGGUUUACGGCUUCGCCUGCUCACUGCAGGUUGUGGCCCGGGCGUUCUAGCGGACGCCAAGAUGCGGGUAUUCGAGCGCUGCGUGUACUUCGGGGAUUCCUGCCAAGACGUGCUGAGUAUGCUGGGCUCUCCACACAAAGUCUUCUACAAGUCUGAAGAUAAGAUGAAAAUCCAUUCACCCUCACCCCACAAGCAGGUCCCAUCGAAGUGCAAUGACUACUUCUUCAAUUAUUUCACACUUGGAGUGGAUAUUCUCUUUGAUGCAAACACUCACAAGGUGAAGAAAUUUGUCCUGCAUACAAAUUACCCUGGUCAUUACAACUUCAACAUUUACCAUCGCUGUGAAUUCAAGAUUCCACUAGUCAUUAAGCGAGAUAGUGCUGAUUCACAGACAGAAACAUGUACAACAUACAGCAAGUGGGACAGUAUUCAGGAUCUUCUGGGGCAUCCUGUAGAGAAGCCAGUGGUACUACACAGGUCAUCGUCUCCAAACAACACUAACCCAUUUGGGUCAACCUUUUGCUUUGGACUGCAGCGAAUGAUCUUUGAGGUGAUGCAGAACAAUCACAUAGCUUCUGUUACCCUGUACGGCCCGACGAGGCCCAGCAGCCAGUUGAGAACAUCAGACCUUCCCCAGUGUCAUUAAAAUCAAUCAAGCUUCCAAGAGUUUAAUCACCCAACAGGAUGGAAGAGGAACCUGCAGUAAAAGAGCAAACCUCAUGCUGCUUUCUUAUGCCCUGAGGAUCUUCUGCAGAAGAGCUUUAGAAGUCAGCUUACCCUGAAGCAGCUGAAAGGCUCCAGAGUAGCUGCAGGAGGAGAUACAUUCUUGACAGGAUUAUGUGAGUCAUGGCUAUGCAGAUGCCACCACUAUCCUGCUCUCAAGCCUGUUCAGUUGGAAUUCCUGGGAAGUGUGAGGUCAGGACUGCUGUGGUCAGACUUAGGACAGGAUGCCAGCAGCUAACCACAGGUAUUUCACAACUGCAGUGACUCCCCUCCUCACUUGGAGUGCUCUGAUGAGUCGAGGUGACUGAAACAGUGUAGAUGAUGAAAUGUGCAGCCCAGAUACUUCUCUAGGGCAGUCCUUUCACCUUGAGGAGUUCCUCUGACAAGAAAAGAAGGCAGCUUUGCAGCUGUUGCUGGGCUGAGUGCAAAGCCUUUGGCUUUUGGGAGAGGCAGAGCUGAAGAAGGGCAUGAGGAGAUCAUGUGCAGAAGCUCUUUUGGGUUUUCUCACCCUGCCUUUGAUUGCAGCUCUCCCUGUCUUGCCUCUCUGAGAUGAUUUGGUUUGUUUGCUGCUAUUUGGAUCGAGCCAAGCCAGGCUGUUUCUGUGCUGAUGUGCUGGGGGAGUUGCUGUGGAGCCUUGAGGAUGUAGUGUGUUGGAAGGUUUAGGACUGAGUGGGAGCUACUGGUGGCAGUCUUCAAUUACCAGAAUGGAGAGAGGAAAGGAGGAGUAAAGGGACUCUGGGGGAGAAGUUGAGGCUGGCAGUGUGGUAGGAAUAAGGCUGUUGAGAUGAACCACAAGCUGUACCUUGCAGAGGGGUGCUUGGGGUGCAGCAGUGUGCUAGCUUAAGCUUUGCUAGGGAGCAGGGCAGGGCCCAUCACCUCUUAUCACAGGAACUGAGACAGAUCAGCAGCUGUUCUUGUUAGAGUUACCUGGUCUAAAUCAGACCCUGCAUGUUGGCAGCAUGUUGGUGAUCCAUCAUUUUGGCUUCCUGUGACAAGCCUGUGAAGUAGCUUUGUGUUUUUAAUAAACACAUUGU